GGAUACCGACUGUGUCUCCACCCACCCACUCGACAUUCUCUACAGGAUACUCACGUUCAUGGGCAUGGACUUUUCACCUGGCAAGACCCACAGCUGGUCGCUCCGCAUGAGUAAAAGCAUGGGACAAUGUACCCUCCAGUCAGAAUAGCUGUCAUGGAUCUUGGAAUCUCUGCAUCCUCAGGGUGAGAUGGCAUGGAAAGCCCUAUCAGUUGUUGCCAUUGGGCCAAAGGGAAGAACGCUGUGUGCCAUAUGUGACAGAAGAUCUGGCUUUCAACUCUCCGAAGGAGAUCGAGCGGGGGAGGAUAGACUACCGCCAGGUUAUGCACCGGGGGUAUCAGAAUGCGGUUCUGGGCUGAGAGAGAUUCCUGCCUGCAACCUUGGAGAAGCCGCUGCGAGUCUGUGAAGAUAAUACUGAGCUAGAUGGACCACUGGUCUGACUCAGUAUAUGGCAGCUUCCCAUGUUCCUAAAGAAGCCAGAGGAAAAGGAACUGCCAGAAGAAGAAGACAAAGAAAGCUGGAUGGAAAAGCUGCUAAAAAGAGGUUAUAAGGCUGGCUGAAACAAGGAAACAACUUAAACAGGAUACCUGAAUGCAUGUAUCCUACUCUGAUUUAUCAUCCUUCACUCAUACCUUUAAAAAAAGAUAUUCACCAAUGGAAUUUAUAAGAUUAUUACUUAGAAAGGAAAACAAAACCUUAAUCUAAGUAAAGAAGUAACUUUGUUCA